rnacentral:rRNA from 1 species
UGCAAGUCGANCGAAGUAGCAAUACUUAGUGGCAGACGGGUGAGUAACAUGUGGGUAUCUUCCCUAUGGUGAGGAAUAACACGAGGAAACUUGUGCUAAUACCUCAUAAGUCUUUACGGAGAAAGCUUUAUGCGCCAUUGGAUGAGCCCGCACUUGAUUAGUUUGUUGGUAGGGUAACGGCCUACCAAGACUGUGAUCAAUAGCUGAUUUGAGAGGAUGAUCAGCCACAUUGGGACUGAGACACGGCCCAAACUCCUACGGGAGGCAGCAGUAAGGAAUCUUGCACAAUGGAGGAAACUCUGAUGCAGCGAUGCCGCGUGAGUGAAGAAGGCCCUUGGGUUGUAAAGCUCUUUCGUCGGGGAAGAAAAUGACUGUACCCGAAUAAGAAGGUCCGGCUAACUUCGUGCCAGCAGCCGCGGUAAUACGAAGGGACCUAGCGUAGUUCGGAAUUACUGGGCUUAAAGAGUUCGUAGGUGGUUAAAAAAGUUGGUGGUGAAAUCCCAGAGCUUAACUCUGGAACUGCCAUCAAAACUUUUUAGCUAGAGUAUGAUAGAGGAAAGCAGAAUUUCUAGUGUAGAGGUGAAAUUCGUAGAUAUUAGAAAGAAUACCAAUUGCGAAGGCAGCUUUCUGGAUCAUUACUGACACUGAGGAACGAAAGCAUGGGUAGCGAAGAGGAUUAGAUACCCUCGUAGUCCAUGCCGUAAACGAUGUGUGUUAGACGUUGGAAAUUUAUUUUCAGUGUCGCAGUGAAAGCGAUAAACACACCGCCUGGGGAGUACGACCGCAAGGUUAAAACUCAAAUGAAUUGACGGGGACCCGCACAAGUAGUGGAGCAUGUGGUUUAAUUCGAAGAUACGCGCAGAACCUUACCAACACUUGACAUGUUCGUCGCGANUUUNAGANAUUAAAGUUUUCGGUUCGGCCGGACNAAA